UAUCUCUCCGUACGGGGAAGGAUGAGAAGCUUCGACCAAGGUUCGAUUCGAGCGCAGCGAGA
rnacentral:sRNA from 1 species